UACGAAGGGGGCUAGCGUUGCUCGGAAUUACUGGGCGUAAAGCGCACGUAGGCGGCUUUCUAAGUCGGGGGUGAAAUCCUGGAGCUCAACUCCAGAACUGCCUUCGAUACUGGAGAGCUCGAGUCCGGGAGAGGUGAGUGGAACUGCGAGUGUAGAGGUGAAAUUCGUAGAUAUUCGCAAGAACACCAGUGGCGAAGGCGGCUCACUGGCCCGGAACUGACGCUGAGGUGCGAAAGCGUGGGGAGCAAACAGG
rnacentral:rRNA from 1 species